AAUAAAACGUUGAUAAGGUCAAGUAAUAGAGUAUGCUACUUUCAGAGAUAUAACGGAUGGUGCGAGUUAUAAUAGCUGCUUAUGAAAUCCGCCUUUGAGUGAAUCUAUGAACUAUAAGUAGUUGAUUCCGGUAGCGCCGUUAUAGCUUUGAGUGGAUAUAUUUUAUGAUAUAUCAAAAAGGGUGGCAACACGAGGUAUCGUCCCUUUA
rnacentral:ncRNA from 1 species